rnacentral:rRNA from 1 species
UAAUACGAAGGUGGCAAGCGUUGUUCGGAAUCACUGGGCUUAAAGCGCACGCAGGCGGAAAAGAAAGUGUGGAGUGAAAUCCCUCGGCUUAACCGGGGAACUGCUCUGCAUACUACUUUUCCUGAGGCAAGUAGGGGUACAUGGAACUCUUGGUGGAGCGGUGGAAUGCGUAGAUAUCAAGAGGAACGCCGAUGGUGAAGACAGUGUACUGGGCUUGUCCUGACGCUGAGGUGCGAAAGCGUGGGGAGCGAACGGGAUUAGAUACCCCGGUAGUCCACGCCGUAAACGAUGUGCACUAGGUCGUGGGAGUUCUGACACCUUCACGGCCGGAGCAAAAGUGUUAAGUGCACCGCCUGGGGAGUACGGUCGCAAGGCUA